rnacentral:sRNA from 1 species
AAGAGAAUGGUUCAAGUUCGGAUC